rnacentral:rRNA from 1 species
GAUGAACGCUGGCGGCGUGCCUAACACAUGCAAGUCGAACGGAGAUUACGGACGGAAGUUUUCGGAUGGAAGACUGUAAUUCUUAGUGGCGGACGGGUGAGUAACGCGUGGGCAACCUGCCCUAUACAGGGGGAUAGCAGCUGGAAACGGCUGGUAAGACCGCAUAAGUCGGCGAGACCGCAUGGUUUUGCCGGGAAAUGAGCAAUCAGGUAUAGGAUGGGCCCGCGUCCGAUUAGCCAGUUGGCAGGGUAAAAGCCUACCAAAGCAACGAUCGGUAGCCGGACUGAGAGGUCGGACGGCCACAUUGGGACUGAGACACGGCCCAAACUCCUACGGGAGGCAGCAGUGGGGGAUAUUGCACAAUGGAGGAAACUCUGAUGCAGCGACGCCGCGUGAGUGAAGAAGUAUUUCGGUAUGUAAAGCUCUAUCAGCGGGGAAGAUGAUGACGGUACCUGACUAAGAAGCCCCGGCUAACUACGUG